rnacentral:rRNA from 1 species
CCCUUAGAUGUUCUGGGCCGCACGCGCGCUACACUGACGAUGGCAACGAGUUUUUCCUUCGCCGAAAGGUGUGGGUAAUCUUUUGAAACAUCGUCGUGCUGGGGAUAGAUCAUUGCAAUUUUUGAUCUUGAACGAGGAAUUCCUAGUAAGCGCGAGUCAUCAGCUCGCGUUGAUUACGUCCCUGCCCUUUGUACACACCGCCCGUCGCUCCUACCGAUUUCGAGUGGUCCGGUGAAAUAUUUGGAUUACGUUGGUUUCGGCUAACGUGAGAAAUCUCUUGAACCAUAUCACUUAGAGGAAGGAGAAGUCGUAACA